rnacentral:rRNA from 1 species
AACGAACGCUGGCGGCAGGCUUAACACAUGCAAGUCGAGCGAGAACCGGUCCUUCGGGACCGGGGAAAGCGGCGAACGGGUGAGUAACACGUGGGUAAUCCACCCUCGGCACCGGAAUAGCCCGGGGAAACCCGGAUUAAUGCCGGAUGGCCCAGCAGCUCUUCGGGGCGGCUGGAAAAGGUAGCUUCGGCCUCCGGCCGAGGACGAGCCCGCGGCGGAUUAGCUUGUUGGUGGGGUAACGGCCUACCAAGGCGACGAUCCGUAGCUGGUCUGAGAGGACGAUCAGCCACACUGGGACUGAGACACGGCCCAGACUCCUACGGGAGGCAGCAGUGGGGAAUCUUGCGCAAUGGGCGAAAGCCUGACGCUGCGACGCCGCGUGAGGGAAGAAGGCUUUCGGGUUGUAAACCUCUUUCAGGAGGGACGAAGCUACUCGGGUGAAUAGCCCAGAGGGUGACGGUACCUCCAGAAGAAGCCCCGGCUAACUACGUGCCAGCCGCCGCCGUAA